AGCAGCCGCGGUAAUUCCAGCUCCAAUAGCGUAUAUUAAAGUUGUUGCAGUUAAAAAGCUCGUAGUUGAAUUUCGAGACCGGUUUACUGGUCGUGCUUUUGUACGUACUGGUAUUAUUGGUUUCUCCUUUCUGACGAAUCUUAAUGCCAUUAAUUUGGUGUUUUGGGGAAUCAGGACUGUUACUUUGAAAAAAUUAGAGUGUUUAAAGCAGGCUCACGCUUGAAUACAUUAGCAUGGAAUAACGGAAUAGGACGUUUGAUUCUAUUUUGUUGGUUUCUAGGAUCGACGUAAUGAUUAAUAGGAUAGUUGGGGGCAUUAGUAUUCAAUUGUCAGAGGUGAAAUUCUUGGAUUUAUUGAAGACUAACUACUGCGAAAGCAUUUGCCAAGGAUGUU
rnacentral:rRNA from 1 species